GUCCACGCCCUAAACGAUGCUGAUUAGCUGUUUCGAGUAUCGACCCUCGGAGUGGCGUAGCUAACGCGUUAAAUCAGCCGCCUGGGAAGUACGAUCGCAAGAUUAAAACUCAAAGGAAUAGACGGGGACUCGCACAAGCGGUGGAACAUGUGGUUUAAUUCGACGGUAAACGAAGAACCUUACCAAGGCUAGACAUGUACUUGAAUGCCUAUCGAAAGACUGGCAGUCCUCUCAAGGGACAAGUGCACAGGUGCUGCAUGGUUGUCGU
rnacentral:rRNA from 1 species